GAUGAACGCUGGCGGCGUGCCUAAUACAUGCAAGUCGAGCGAACAGACGAGGAGCUUGCUCCUUUGACGUUAGCGGCGGACGGGUGAGUAACACGUAGGUAACCCACCUAUAAGACUGGGAUAACUUCGGGAAACCGGAGCUAAUACCGGAUAAUAUUUCGAACCGCAUGGUUCGAUAGUGAAAGAUGGCUUUGCUAUCACUUAUAGAUGGACCUGCGCCGUAUUAGCUAGUUGGUAAGGUAACGGCUUACCAAGGCAACGAUACGUAGCCGACCUGGGAGGGUGAUCGGCCACACUGGAACUGAGACACGGUCCAGACUCCUACGGGAGGCAGCAGUAGGGAAUCUUCCGCAAUGGGCGAAAGCCUGACGGAGCAACGCCGCGUGAGUGAUGAAGGUCUUCGGAUCGUAAAACUCUGUUAUUAGGGAAGAACAAACGUGUAAGUAACUGUGCACGUCUUGACGGUACCUAAUCAGAAAGCCACGGCUAACUACGUG
rnacentral:rRNA from 1 species